rnacentral:rRNA from 1 species
AUUGAACGCUGGCGGCAGGCCUAACACAUGCAAGUCGAGCGGAUGAAGGGAGCUUGCUCCUGGAUUCAGCGGCGGACGGGUGAGUAAUGCCUAGGAAUCUGCCUGGUAGUGGGGGAUAACGUCCGGAAACGGGCGCUAAUACCGCAUACGUCCUGAGGGAGAAAGUGGGGGAUCUUCGGACCUCACGCUAUCAGAUGAGCCUAGGUCGGAUUAGCUAGUUGGUGGGGUAAAUGCCUACCAAGGCGACGAUCCGUAACUGGUCUGGGAGGAUGAUCAGUCACACUGGAACUGAGACACGGUCCAGACUCCUACGGGAGGCAGCAGUGGGGAAUAUUGGACGAUGGGCGAAAGCCUGAUCCAGCCAUGCCGCGUGUGUGAAGAAGGUCUUCGGAUUGUAAAGCACUUUAAGUUGGGAGGAAGGGCAGUAAGUUAAUACCUUGCUGUUUUGACGUUACCAACAGAAUAAGCACCGGCUAACUUCGUG